rnacentral:rRNA from 1 species
UCAGUUCAGACUGCAGGCUGCAACUCGCCUGCACGAAGUCGGAAUUGCUAGUAAUCGUAGGUCAGCAUACUACGGUGAAUACGUUCCCGGGCCUUGUACACACCGCCCGUCACGCCAUGAGAGUCGGGAACACCCGAAGCCCGUAGCCUAACUUGCAAGAGAGGGCGCGGUCGAAGGUGGGUUCGAUAAUUGGGGUGAAGUCGUAACAAGGUAUC